rnacentral:lncRNA from 1 species
CGCGCGGUUCGCUGGGACUUGUAGUUGGGGGCCCAUGGCGAGGGCACGGGUCAGUUUGCGGAUCACUGCGUUGCCAGGUGUGGGAUCUCACGUGGGAGGUGAGACGGGGCCGGCGGCCUUCGUGGCAGGCAGAGGUGUCACGGAUCAGGGUCGUGGGCCUCUGGAAUCUGCAUUUCCCUGAGAGGAAGAUAUGACAAAGUUCCAGACAUCAUCUUUGUGUGUGCCAAAAGGCAGGAGUCCCAGUUUAACCCUUUUUUCCCUCUGCAACCUUGGAUAAGUCACUUCAUUAUGAACCUUGGUUUCUCAUCUAUAAAAUUGGGGUGUCUGGCUUGAUGAUCUCUAGGGUCUCUUUAUUUGUUGCAUUUCAUUAGUCAUUUAAAUUGAAAGUGGCCAGGUAUGGUGGGGUACACCUGUAAUCCCAGCAACUUGGAAGCCAAGGCAGGAGGAUUGCAAAUUUGAAGCCAGCUUUAGCAACUUAGCAAGGCCCUAAGCAACUUAGUGAAACCCUGUGGAUGUAACUCAGAGGUAAAGCAAUCCUGGGUUCAUUCCUCGGUUCCAAAAAACAAAAGAAUUGAAUGUGAAUUUAUAAACUUCUAUCUUUUAGAUUCCAAGUUGGUUGUGUUAAUUGCUGGGGAUUUAAAGAUUAGUUGAGUGUGACCUCUGUCCUUCACAAUCUUACAGCCAAUUUGUGAGACAGAUUUAAUAGCUAUAUCAGAGAUAUGAGAAAGAUGCUCUGAGGUCUUAAAGAAAGAAGCACCUGGCUUAUCCGCCUGCUUCAGAAAGGGCUUGCUGAUUAUCCUGAGAUAAAGGAAUUCCAAAAUGGAUGUGAGAAAUCCAAGUCAGGGUAGAAGCAACGUGAAAAGAACUAUGCUAGACUAGAACAUGCUGGGUGUAGAUGGUUCCAAGUAAUCCACUGUGACUACGCCACUUACCAGCUUCUGCAUUACUGUGUCCUGCCUCUCAGUAAAUUGUUAUAUCAAGCUGGGAGGCAUCUGGAAUGGAAGUUGAGAGCCAUGGGAUAACCUGUCUGGAGUAAUGAGAACUUUAACAUUUGGUGAAAAUAGGAAACUACU